CUCCUGGGAAAGAUUCCAUUUCGUUAUAGGGAGAAACUAAAUUCAAGGUCCCAGACCCUAGGGAAGCUGGAGACUUCCCUAAGAGCUGAACAGCUUCUGUUGUCUGCGUCUCGGCAUCUCAGAGACACCUCGUAAGGAGGAAGUUGUCUGAGUCCAGCUAUCUCAAGGACAACUUCUCCAUCUGGCCCGCGGGGUUAAACAAAUUCAUCUUCCCAAGCCUAGGGAUAAACACCUAUCCCACUUCUCCAAACAUUUUCUUAAUUGUCUGUUAACCUGUUAACCAGUAAAGAAUAUAGAAAUCACUGUUAUCUAAACCCAGGUUUAUAAGUUGUAAAAAUAUAUAACCAAUCGUCAUUAUACCCUAAUUAACUACCUGCAGCUGACUUAUUCAUUUGUCCCUUUAGCACUCUGUCCAGGAGAAUGGGUUAAGGACCUUGGAGCCAGAUGCCCUGAAUACGGCCCAGGCUCCAAUAGGUACUUCCUUGGCUUAACCCAUAAUGUCAAACACAAUCACACAGCACUGCAGCUCGCCCCAGCUCUACUCUCGAUUUGGAGGGUACGGUCAGAGAGGAUGAAGUCAUGGUGCCAGGAGCCUGAGGCAGCUGCUUGCAUUGUAUCCGCAGUGAGGAAGCCGAGAGAGAUGAACCCGAUGAGCAGGUAGCUUCCUCCUUUUCUUACAGUCUGAGACUGAGCCCACGGACACCUGCGUGCAAGAUGGGACUUCCCAGUUCAGUUAACCCAAGGUAACCCCUCCCAGGCAUACCUGGAGACUUGUCUCCUAGCUGGUUCUAGAUCUGUCAAGUUGGCAAUCAAUAGAAACCAUCACCAGAGGGAUUGUUAGACGCUGAAAAAGUCCAGGGGUUUUUACUUUAUUUUGCAGAGGCGGGGGUGUGGGGGUGGCUGGUGGUGUUGAGGGAAGCCGAGGGAAACCAGGGAAUGCUUGGCAGAGAUUAAUCUGUACGUAUGCUAUAGUAGAGGGUAGAUUAUGGCGAGCUAAUGUUCCUCUGCGAGAGAAGAGAAAACAGCGCCGAUGAGCUAUUCCAGACACACAGAUUGAUUCACAUCCAUCACUCCUGGGGCAGAGCCUCUGAGAAUCCUCAAAGAAGGGGAGAGGAUCUAAAUGCAUCUGCUCAGACAAAUGUGGAAAGACAGGGGUUUCUCUCUAGGUAAAACGAUCCUUCCUCUCAGCUUGUCGCCUGUCACCGCAGCGGUUUCUGGUUCCGCUUUGGGAGUCCCAGAAAUCCGAGUUGCCCACAGAAACUGGAAAAUGUGGGGUUGUUUAUGCAGAAGCAAAGUUGGGUAUUUUUUUUUUCGAUUACUGAUGUUUUCCUGCAAGCUUCAAAAUCCUAUUUUGUCACCCCAUCUGGUUCUUACAACUUUUCUUCAAGGUGGGUGGGAUGGGAGGGUAUCCCCAGUUCUCAUAAGCUACAUCAUCUCGAUUCUCUGGUACAGUCUAAAAUAAAAUGCAGUGCUGUCUCCUGAGCUUUUACUCUCACUCACUUCAUCCCAGAGCCCUCUUCUCAGGCCAACACAUUCAGUAUCACCCUUAAAGCUAGAGACCAGGUCCUCAGGGAUGUAGUAAGGGAUCUCCUCAUGUUCUCCAAGAUGGCGCUUCUCCACACCUCCCCUCCAUCGUUCCUAAAAUGCUGGUCUUCUUGAUCAGGGCCAUAUGGACUGUCUAGGGCUAUUCUGAAUAUUGAGUUUAUAUGACUUUUUUUUUGUUAGAAAAAUUGUGGGUCAGCUGAGGUUGUAAGCAUGAGCUCUGGUACUGGCCCAAUCUGACCUCCGACUCCAUGGCUGUACGCCACCCUUUCCUCACCUAUAAAAUGUGUGUGUGAUGCUGCUCCCUACAUCUUAGGCUGUUCUGGUGACUGACUGAGCAUGGGAAUGCAAAGCAGUUAGCACGGAACUAAAGAAGAUUAACUGAGAUGGAAAGUGGGGAGAAAGGAGGGAAGAGAUACACAAAGGAGUCUUUUUUAAAAUCUAUAUUAUCUCUAUGUGCCUUGGCAUUUUGUCCAUACAUGUGUCUGUGUGAUCUCCUGGGACGGGAGUUACAGUUGGGAACAGUUGUGAGCUGCCCUAUGGGUGCUGGCAAUUGCAUCCUGUGGAAGAACAGCCAGUGUUAACUGCUGAGCUCUCUAGCCCACGAAAGCAGUGUUUAGCAUUAAAUGGCAGAUUCAGUGUGCCAAAGCUAAGGACUGAGUUAGGCUCCAAGUAAAGAGCAUUCUGACCUCUGGGCUGUCCUCUGGCAAUGGAGUCUGCCAAAGGGGUGGGAGGUGAGGGAUGUCACUUCUUCAGGCAUUCAAACGGAGACGUCCAGCUUCAAGUGAGGAUGUGGAUCAGUAAUUUGUCAGGGUCUUCCUAGCCAACGUUUUUGCAAAAUAAAUAAAGGAAGCUUUAAGUGACCAACAACCAAAUGUUCUUUGAAGAUUGUAGAGCCGCAGUAGCCCAGCAAUCAAGGACCUAUUUUAACUAAGAACUGAGCUUCCAAAGACUAUUCAUAAUCCUCCAAUUCAGAGUCCAUUGGACACCCUGGGCAGAGUGUGGGUCGUGUUUGGAAAGAGGAGAAAGUUCAUAUGAAGAAGUGUUCUCUUUGAAGCCCACAAAAGGUCUGCCCUCCCUUCCAUUCAUCAACUCUAGUCCAAAGAACUAGACAACGCCCUCCCCAGCAGGAUACCCUACACCAAAGUAGCCCCAGCUUUCUACACAUUGGGAACAACACACUGACAACUCAAAGCUCCCUGCCCUAGCUGGCCACACUGCCAGAUCAAGAGAGGAGACUCCAGAAGGAAAGGGGUAGACAUGGGAUCUACCAGUGACUGCCUUUCCACAGUUUCAGUUCUAGUGUCUGUGAAGAUGAUUUCUUGUUCUGCUGCCCCAGACCCCUGGGUCACUGAAAGAAGCCAUCUUCCCAUCUCAUGUGGUCUGUUGGGACUGCCAAUCGGAGCAAUCUUAGGCCCGUCUGAUCCUGUGGCUGGCGCCUGACCAACCAUAGAACGACCCUAUAAUCCUGCCUUCAGUGACUGCACCAAGAGAACGCCUGAGUUUAGCAGGACCAAUGAGCCCCUUCCAAGUCUGCUACCAUCAUUUGAACUUGAGAGAGAUGCUCACUUUCUUGCAUGAUGGGUAAUUGGGGUUCUGUAAGGGUGGCUUACAGAAUCAUCAGGCCAUCAGAACCAGAGGCCAUCUUUACUAACCUAGAAGAGAAGAACUUCACAGAAGGGAGGUAGAGGUUGAGUCAAACAAAUGACGAACAGGGGCUGCCUCUGCUCUUUGUACCCCUGUGGACAAGUAGAAUUUAAAUAGCUCAACUCUUGGACUUGUGAGUUAUAUACUCUAGGGGGGAAAUUAAACGACUGCAAAUAGACCUGACUGACUAAGUCCAGACAAAGCAAGGUGUCAGGUCACAUCUGCCCAAGAUGCCAUUCAUUGCAAGGGGGAGAUCCGGACAGCCUAGAGAUAACUAUUAAACCCAGAAAAAAAGACUUCACUUUCUCACUGCCCUUCUUGCUAGUUAUCUAGGAUCAGAGUCACCCUAAAAUUCACAUUCUAGCUCAUGGUGGGUGCAAACCAGGUUUCUUGGCAUCGUAUAACUGAUCUCACUUUAAAGGCAUAGACUUGCCUUGAUUCUUAAAAUAAAAAUCCCCCACACGCAUGUCAAUCACGUAGCCAAUUAAGAGGCCUCCGAAUGACAAGCCACUGGAUUGUCAAGGUAUGUUACAGACAGACACACGGGAAGUUUCUGAUAGUUGGGAUAAUUAGUAUGUCAUCUACUGCCUGGCCAGUUCUGCUUGCCAGAAGGAAUCUGAGGGGAUCCAGGACUAUUUUAACAGGCAAUUUAGGGAGCAGGUACCUCUGAGUUCUCACCUGCUUGGCCCAGAGCAUGGGGCAAGGUAAGUGUGUGUGUGUGUGUGUGUGUGUGUGUGUGUGUGUGUAUGAGUGUGUAUGUGUGUAUGUUUAUAUGUAUGUGUGAGUGUGUAUGUGUAUAUGUGUGUCUGUGUGUAUGUGUGUGUGAGUGUGUGUGUAUGUGUGCAUGUGUGUGUGAGUGUGUGUAUGUGUGUAUAUGUGUGUGUAUAUGUGUGUGUAUGUGUGUAUAUGUGUGUGUAUAUGUGUGUAUGUGUGUGUGAGUGUGUGUGUAUGUGUGUAUAUGUGUGUGUAUGUGUGUGUAUGUGUGUGUAUGUGUGUGUGUAUGUGUGUGUAUGUGUGUGUAUAUGUGUGUAUAUGUAUGUGUAUGUGUGUGUAUGUGUGUGUGCAUGUGAAUGUGUGUGUAUGUGUGUGUAUAUGUGUGUAUGUGUGUGUAUGUGUGAGUGUGUGUGUAUGUGUGUGUAUGUGUGUAUAUGUGUGUAUAUGUGUGUAUGUGUGUGUAUAUGUGUGUGUGCAUGUGUAUGUGUGUGUGAAUGUGUGUGUAUGUGUGUAUAUGUGUGUAUGUGUGUAUAUGUAUGUGUAUGUGUGUGUAUAUGUGUGUGUGCGUGUAUGUAUGUGUGUGUAUGUGUGUGUGUGUUUGUGUGUGUGUAUAUAUGUGUGUGUGUUAAGGCAUUGCCACAUUAGGAAUGUAGAAAAACACUGAUGAAGAGAGUUUGCCCAGCAGUUACUUCCUCUUCUGCCCUCCAGACCUGAACCUUUGACUGGAUGAAUUAAGCUUCAGAUUUUAUACUUCCCUAAACCCCUUUCUAGCAACCUGCAGAUAACCUCAAUAAACACAGAUUUCCUUCCUCCCCGGGAUGUCGAGAGAGUACCAAGUGGAGGAUGCUACUGCGCUUGCAGAAACUGAACAGAGAAGCUGUGCCUCAUAGAGAAUGGGGUCCCUCCCACCCACAUCCUCCUUGGGGAAGACGGCCCUUAGUGCUCCACUGUGAGAGCUGCAAAAUAACGCUAUAAAAAUGUUUAUAGACACACGAGGUCCCCAAGGCAAUCUAUACGACACAACAAGCAUGCUGGAAGCAGAGAUAAAGGAAACACUAUUUGCUGGCACCUUGUUGGAGAGAUCUGCGGGAGGUUAGGGGGAAUACUUUAGCAUCCAGCUCGAAAGCUGUGAUCGCAUCAGCCACCUUCCCAAGAAUGUGAAGCCUGUGGGCCGUGAGGUUUUUACGCUGCAGGGUAGGAGGUACAAGCCUGGGCUAGAGGGACACGGCUUGCAUGACAGGAUGUAGAGGCUGACAGGCAGUAGCUGCCCUCCCUGACAGCGUGAAGCCUCCCUCCCACUCUGGCCAUUACCUCCAUAAGGAAUUACCAGUGUCCUGGAGACUCGCAGCACAUUUGUUUUCUCUUACAGUUCUAAGCCAGGCUCUUGGAGAGCUAAAUCCAACGAGCGAGUGUUGGCAGAGCCAUGCUCCCUCUGGAGUGCCUCGAGGACAGUCUGCUUCUAUACCCUUCUCCAGUUCCUUGGGCUGUGUUCCUUGGCCUGUGGCCUUACCUCCACCUUCCAACCCGGCACUGUAGCACCUCCCUUAUUAAAAAGAAAUUAGUAAAAAUGUUAAAAACUA